GAUGAACGCUGGCGGCGUGCCUAAUACAUGCAAGUCGAGCGAACAGACGAGGAGCUUGCUCCUCUGACGUUAGCGGCGGACGGGUGAGUAACACGUGGAUAACCUACCUAUAAGACUGGGAUAACUUCGGGAAACCGGAGCUAAUACCGGAUAAUAUAUUGAACCGCAUGGUUCAAUAGUGAAAGACGGUUUUGCUGUCACUUAUAGAUGGAUCCGCGCCGCAUUAGCUAGUUGGUAAGGUAACGGCCUACCAAGGCAACGAUGCGUAGCCGACCUGAGAGGGUGAUCGGCCACACUGGAACUGGAACACGGUCCAGACUCCUACGGGAGGCAGCAGUAGGGAAUCUUCCGCAAUGGGUGAAAGCCUGACGGAGCAACGCCGCGUGAGUGAUGAAGGUCUUCGGAUCGUAAAACUCUGUUAUUAGGGAAGAACAAAUGUGUAAGUAACUAUGCACGUCUUGACGGUACCUAAUCAGAAAGCCACGGCUAACUACGUG
rnacentral:rRNA from 1 species